GAUCCUUGAUGCACAAAUGUGACAAUCUGUGGGUGAUCCUUGCUGUACAAAUGUGACAUUCUGAGGUAAUCCUUGAUGUACAAAUGUGACAACCUGAGGGUGAUGCUUGAUGUACAAAUGUGACAAUCUGAGGUGAUCCUUGAUGUACAAAUGUGACAAUGUACGGGUGAUCCUUGAUGUACACAUGU